rnacentral:tRNA from 1 species
GCGGCCGUAGUGUAGCCUGGUUAUCACUCGAGGUUGCCAAUCUUGCGACUCGGGUUCGAAUCCCGACGGCCGCA